GUUGAAUUGGCAGAAUAAGUGCUUUAAAUUUAGAAUUUAAAAAUGUAGUUUUUACAUUCAAUA
rnacentral:tRNA from 1 species